AAAAAAAGGAUGUUCUUUGAUUUCAUUAAUAUCCGAAAACCCAAGUCGUCUCUCCGGAUUUGGCUGUAGAAACCCAUUAAUCAAGUCUAAUGCUUCCUCGGAACAAGGAUACAUUUCUAAAUCGGGCCAUGCAAUGUUAUUAGCCAAAAUAUUUUCAAAUACCUUUUCCGGGGUCUCUGCGUGAAAAGGUGGAUAACCAAACAGAAACUCAAACAACACACAGCCAAGAGCCCACCAAUCAACCAUAUCAUC